GUUUUCUUCCACCCAGGCGUUAUCAAAGACUCUAUUAGAUGGGGAAAAUAAAACAGACAUGAGAGGAAGAGGACUGGACUAUGAAGUCAGAACAGUAUUGUGAUCACCCAGUGCUGAGAUGCUCAGAACUGUUUGCCUUGCUUCAGAAACAAAAGUUGGCUCAGCUGAUAUAGACUGACUCUUCGUUGCAAGUCAUCCUUGUACUACUGGUAUUGACUUACAUUUAUACCUACCAAAAUACAUUUGUGUAGUCAUAAUCA